rnacentral:rRNA from 1 species
UACGUAGGGGGCGAGCGUUGUCCGGAUUUAUUGGGCGUAAAGCGCACGCAGGCGGUUCGUUAAGUCCGUUGUGAAAGCUCCUGGCUCAACUGGGAGAGGUCUUCGGAUACUGGCGAACUCGAGGGAGGCAGAGGAAGGUGGAAUUCCGGGUGUAGUGGUGAAAUGCGUAGAGAUCCGGAGGAACACCAGUGGCGAAGGCGGCCUUCUGGGCCUUUCCUGACGCUGAGGUGCGAAAGCGUGGGGAGCGAACCGG